rnacentral:misc_RNA from 1 species
GGAAGUCUUGAAAGGCAUCUAGUGAGAGGUGCAUACCAUGGAACAUUUUGUGAAUCAUUCUGAUCACAAAAAGGAGGAUCUUGUUCUUUGCGAUUGUCAUAGCAUGAAGAUGAGUCAGGUUUCUGAUAGAUUACAAGCCCAAUUCCUGAUGAAUCCAUAGUCUUAGCCACAUUCUUCCAGCACAUAGAAUUUGUCAAAGCCACCAUAGAAUUCCAAACAUUGCGAUCUCU